rnacentral:rRNA from 1 species
GUCUACCAGUUGUUCUGCCAAGAGCAUCGCUGGGUAGCUAUGUCGGGUUGCUAUAACCGCUGAAAGCAUAUAAGCGGGAAGCCCAUCCUAAGAUUAGGUUUCGUUUAGAUCCCAUAUAGAAGAUGUGGUUGAUAGGCUCUAGGUGGAAGCGUAGUAAUACGUGCAGCCGAGGAGUACUAAUAGAUCGACGACUUGAUUU